rnacentral:rRNA from 1 species
UUAAAUGGCCGCGGUAUUUUGACCGUGCUAAGGUAGCAUAAUCAUUAGUUUUUUAAUUGAGAACUGGAAUGAAGGGUUUGAUGAAAAGUUAGCUGUCUCUGUAUAAAAAGUUAAAAUUUUAUUUUUAAGUUAAAAAGCUUAAAUUAAAUUAAAAGACGAGAAGACCCUUUAGAGUUUAAUUUAUUAUUAUUGAUAUUAUUAUAGUAUUAUUUUUAUAUUAAAAUUAUUAAAUUUAAUUGGGGUGAUUGAAAAAUUUAUUUAACUUUUUUUUUAUGUUUAUAUUUUUAAAUAAAUAAUUGAUCCAGUAUUAUUGAUUAUAAGAUUAAAUUACCUUAGGGAUAACAGCGUAAUUUUAUUGGAGAGUU